rnacentral:antisense_RNA from 1 species
GUCUAUGGCGGACCGUGCAAGGCGGACUUCGGUCCGGCCGGUCUUUCUACCCGGUUUUCUACCCUUGCACGGUCCGCCUCCCUA